GUACAUGCGUAGAUGAGACCUCGUAUAAUGCCGGGAAUAUGGCUCGGCAGUUUCUACCAAGCGACCGUGAAUCGCUUGCCUACGAGGUCGUUGCCAUGUGAA
rnacentral:ncRNA from 2 species